rnacentral:rRNA from 1 species
GACGAACGCUGGCGGCGUGCUUAACACAUGCAAGUCGAACGGUGAAGCGCUUGCCUUUUUGGUGGGUGUGGAUGAGUGGCGAACGGGUGAGUAACACGUGAGUAACCUGCCCUCUUCUUCUGGAUAACCUCAUGAAAGUGGGGCUAAUACGGGGUAUUCCGGGUCUGUCGCAUGGCGGGUUUGGGAAAGAUUGCGCCUUUGGGUGUUUUCGGUGGGGGAUGGGCUCGCGGCCUAUCAGCUUGUUGGUGGGGUGAUGGCCUACCAAGGCGGUGACGGGUAGCCGGCCUGAGAGGGUGGACGGCCACACUGGGACUGAGACACGGCCCAGACUCCUGCGGGAGGCAGCAGUGGGGAAUAUUGCACAAUGGGCGCAAGCCUGAUGCAGCGACGCCGCGUGAGGGAUGGAGGCCUUCGGGUGGGGAACCUCUUUCGCCAGUGAAGCAGGCCUGCUCCUGUGUGGGUGGGUUGACGGUAGCUGGAGAAGAAGCGCCGGCUAACUACGUG